GGAGAGAUGUCCGAGCGGCUGAAGGAGCACGACUGGAAAUCGUGUGCACGUGCUAAAACGCGUGCCGAGGGUUCAAAUCCCUCUCUCUCCGCCA
rnacentral:tRNA from 5 species